rnacentral:rRNA from 1 species
CUAAAUUAUACAUGAGUUGUUCAUAUCAUGUGCGUACGCUUCUUUUUACACCGGAGCUUGCUCCACCGGAAAAAGAGGAGUGGCGAACGGGUGAGUAACACGUGGGUAACCUGCCCAUCAGAAGGGGAUAACACUUGGAAACAGGUGCUAAUACCGUAUAACAAUCGAAACCGCAUGGUUUUGAUUUGAAAGGCGCUUUCGGGUGUCGCUGAUGGAUGGACCCGCGGUGCAUUAGCUAGUUGGUGAGGUAACGGCUCACCAAGGCCACGAUGCAUAGCCGACCUGAGAGGGUGAUCGGCCACAUUGGGACUGAGACACGGCCCAAACUCCUACGGGAGGCAGCAGUAGGGAAUCUUCGGCAAUGGACGAAAGUCUGACCGAGCAACGCCGCGUGAGUGAAGAAGGUUUUCGGAUCGUAAAACUCUGUUGUUAGAGAAGAACAAGGAUGAGAGUAACUGUUCAUCCCUUGACGGUAUCUAACCAGAAAGCCACGGCUAACUACGUGCCAGCAGCCGCGGUAAUACGUAGGUGGCAAGCGUUGUCCGGAUUUAUUGGGCGUAAAGCGAGCGCAGGCGGUUUCUUAAGUCUGAUGUGAAAGCCCCCGGCUCAACCGGGGAGGGUCAUUGGAAACUGGGAGACUUGAGUGCAGAAGAGGAGAGUGGAAUUCCAUGUGUAGCGGUGAAAUGCGUAGAUAUAUGGAGGAACACCAGUGGCGAAGGCGGCUCUCUGGUCUGUAACUGACGCUGAGGCUCGAAAGCGUGGGGAGCAAACAGGAUUAGAUACCCUGGUAGUCCACGCCGUAAACGAUGAGUGCUAAGUGUUGGAGGGUUUCCGCCCUUCAGUGCUGCAGCUAACGCAUUAAGCACUCCGCCUGGGGAGUACGACCGCAAGGUUGAAACUCAAAGGAAUUGACGGGGGCCCGCACAAGCGGUGGAGCAUGUGGUUUAAUUCGAAGCAACGCGAAGAACCUUACCAGGUCUUGACAUCCUUUGACCACUCUAGAGAUAGAGCUUCCCCUUCGGGGGCAAAGUGACAGGUGGUGCAUGGUUGUCGUCAGCUCGUGUCCUGAGAUGUUGGGUUAAGUCCCGCAACGAGCGCAACCCUUAUUGUUAGUUGCCAUCAUUCAGUUGGGCACUCUAGCAAGACUGCCGGUGACAAACCGGAGGAAAGGUGGGGAUGACGUCAAAUCAUCAUGCCCCUUAUGACCUGGGCUACCACGUGCUACAAUGGGAAGUACAACGAGUUGCGAAGUCCCGAGGCUAAGCUAAUCCCUAAAGCUUCCUCCAGUUCGGAUUGCAGGCUGCAACUCGCCUGCAUGAAGCCGGAAUCCCUAAUAAUCCGGAUACACACGCCGCGGUGAAUACGUUCCCGGGCCUUGUACACACCGCCCGUCACACCACGAGAGUUUUUACCCCCGAAUCCGGGAGGAACUUUUUUGAACCCCCCCCAAGGGGGAAAAAAUAUGAGGGCAAACCAAACGGGAGCUCUCAGGGGUGGCGCGCGGGGACUUCAACGCAAGCCCAACCGAAGAUUGCCAAUAAAGAACCAAUAAAAUUAUA